rnacentral:rRNA from 1 species
UACGGAGGGUGCAAGCGUUGUCCGGAAUCACUGGGCGUAAAGGGCGCGUAGGCGGCUCAUGAAGGCUGUGGUGAAAGUCCGGGGCUCAACCUCGGAUCGGCCGUGGCGACUCGUGGGCUGGAGCACUGUAGAGGCGGGUGGAAUUCCGGGUGUAGCGGUGGAAUGCGUAGAGAUCCGGAAGAACACCAGUGGCGAAGGCGGCUCGCUGGGACGUGACUGACGCUGAGACGCGAAAGCGUGGGGAGCAAACAGG